rnacentral:lncRNA from 1 species
GUGGGAGAUGUGGGGCUGAGUUGCCGGCAUCAGCCAAGGGUACACAAAGGUACCAGCUGAAAGGAGAAUUACUGGCCCCCUUCUGGAUUUUCAAAGCUCUGAAGAUGUGAAUCUAGCACUCAUCGCUUAUACGUUGUGGACUUUGGUUUGCUGGGGGCAGGAAUCUCCCUUUCUGGAUGAAUUCAUGAUAAGCCAGCAAGAUCUAUCAGACAGGAAUGAAUCAUGGUUUGCUGGAAGCAAGAUCCAGGAGAAAGAUUGGUGGGAAACUUAAAAUGUGCAAUAACAACUCUGGGGAAAGACAGGAAAUCGGAAGAAUUGGAAAGUCGUCUAGUGAAUCCUCAGCCACCUCCUCUCUUCAGAUAUUGUGGGCUUGGAAUCAAGUGUGGACUGGAAAUUCAACAACUGGCUGGGUCUGUGUCUCGUGAACUCUGCCUGGCAUGAACACUUCUGUUUCAGCACAUCUGUGAUUGCCAUAUCACCAGCAUUUGCAGAAUGGAGGAUUAAUUUUAUUGUGCACUGGAUCAGCAGAUCUGGUGACAUAAUAUUGCACUACGAAGAAGGAUUACUCACCAGUUUCUGGAUGCUACAUUUUUAGAAACGAACUCCACUUAACGAUAAGUGUUGGAUCUAACAACUUCCCCCUUUUCCUCACUCCCACUCUCCAAUCACCCAACCAACAAAUAUCACUUAAUGCAAAAACCGGCUCUCUUGGGACCAGAUGGAUAUAAUUUUUCUUCAAGAUAAAA